rnacentral:rRNA from 1 species
ACGCUAAUACCGCAUACGACCUACGGGUGAAAGCAGGGGAUCUUCGGACCUUGCGCGAUUGAAUGAGCCGAUGUCGGAUUAGCUAGUUGGCGGGGUAAAGGCCCACCAAGGCGACGAUCCGUAGCUGGUCUGAGAGGAUGAUCAGCCACACUGGAACUGAGACACGGUCCAGACUCCUACGGGAGGCAGCAGUGGGGAAUAUUGGACAAUGGGCGCAAGCCUGAUCCAGCCAUACCGCGUGGGUGAAGAAGGCCUUCGGGUUGUAAAGCCCUUUUGUUGGGAAAGAAAUCCAGCCGGCUAAUACCCGGUUGGGAUGACGGUACCCAAAGAAUAAGCACCGGCUAACUUCGUGCCAGCAGCCGCGGUAAUACGAAGGGUGCAAGCGUUACUCGGAAUUACUGGGCGUAAAGCGUGCGUAGGUGGUCGUUUAAGUCCGUUGUGAAAGCCCUGGGCUCAACCUGGGAACUGCAGUGGAUACUGGGCGACUAGAGUGUGGUAGAGGGUAGCGGAAUUCCUGGUGUAGCAGUGAAAUGCGUAGAGAUCAGGAGGAACAUCCAUGGCGAAGGCAGCUACCUGGACCAAC